rnacentral:lncRNA from 1 species
CCCCGGAGGGGCGGCUCCUUGGCCAGGGAAGGAGGCGGGAUCUGCUUGCCAGCGGGCGUCUCCGCUUAGCGCUCUCUCCAGAAACCGCUGGGCAGUCUCCUGGGUGAGCGCCAGACGCCUGGGGUCCGUUUGCCGCCUGCUGAGACUAGACAAGGACCCCGGGAGGGCGACGUUGGGGGAGAGGGCUACGGAUGGAGGUCCCGCCGCGCUUGGGCCGGGUCCGGAGCCACCAGGACGCACAGCGGGUUUCCCUCAUUCUCAGUCAGGUGGUUGAGUUAUCCAAGCCUUCAUAACCAGAGGGUCUGAGCACUUGUUGGACUGUGCUUACUGCAGCUUCUCAUUUACAAUUACCACUGCACCUGAGAGUACCAAGAGAUUCCUGAGCCAGAGAUUACGAUUUCCAACUUCCAGCUCCUCAAGGCUUUUGUAUCAUAUGUAGAAAGCUGAAACUGGAUCCCUU